rnacentral:rRNA from 1 species
AUUGAACGCUGGCGGCGUGCUUAACACAUGCAAGUCGAUCGGUAACAGGCCCUUCGGGGUGCUGACGAGAGGCGGACGGGUGAGUAACGCUUGGGAAUCUGCCCAUCAGCGGGGGACAACCCGGGGAAACCCGGGCUAAUACCGCAUACGCUCCAAGGAGGAAAGCAGGGGACCGCAAGGCCUUGCACUGAUGGAUGAGCCCAAGUCGGAUUAGCUUGUUGGUGAGGUAAAGGCUCACCAAGGCGACGAUCCGUAGCUGGUCUGAGAGGACGAUCAGCCACACUGGGACUGAGACACGGCCCAGACUCCUACGGGAGGCAGCAGUGGGGAAUAUUGGACAAUGGGGGAAACCCUGAUCCAGCGACGCCGCGUGAGUGAAGAAGGCC